ensembl:snRNA U2 U2 spliceosomal RNA
AUCACUUCUCGGUCUUUUGACUAAGAUCAAGUGUUGUAUCUGUUCUUAUCAGUUUAAUAUCUGACAUGUCCUCUAUCCGAGGACAAAAUAUUAAAUGGAUUUUUGGAGCUAGGAGAUGGGAUAGGUGCUUGCUCUGUCCACUCCACACAUCAACCUGAUAUUGCAGUACUUCCAGGAACUGUGCACAAAAA